rnacentral:lncRNA from 1 species
AAAUCUCAUGCUCAUCCCCAAACCUUCAUCGGGGGGCUUUUUUCAUCACUGCGGGGAAAAAUUUUCCGUCUUCAAGUUCCAUACGGGGCAAUCUUCACGGAAAUACACAUUUAUAGAUCAUAUUGACAUCCCUACAUGAAAAUGGGGGAUAAAGUUGGGUUAGGACACGUCUACGCGGAGUGAUCCGUUUAUUGACUCGAGAGAGUACGUAGAUAUAAAUUAGUACAUCGUCUGUAUACAUACUUGAUGUCUUUAGAGUAAGUAUAGGAUAAUAUAACCGAAAACAAUGUGACGAAUUGUACUAAAUUCAAAUCAAACAUCCAUCAUCAUAUUUCUACUUACUUUUUUUUUUUUUGAAGCAACUACUUACUUUCUUUUUGAUUUUACAAUUAGUGUCAUAUACCUCUUAUCUCACAAUUUGUCACGAUACAAUCUUUCUCCUCCAACCACCAACGCUAACGAUUGUAGCACCUUCUCUAACUCCUUUGAAAUCAUGGAUUCAAAAUCAGCGCCAUAAUUUUUACCAUUCAUGUGCCACGCUCCUGACAUCCUCCUCCAUAUCUCACUUUAUCUCUAACCAAUUUGGAAAAUUAUUAAGAAAGUAUGGAGUUAGGAGCAAUUCUUAGUUGGGCACAAUCUCAAACAAAAUUCAUUUAGGCACACACCCAUAAAAGAUAAAAAAAUAAAUGUAAAAUAAUUUAGUCACAUCAUUUAAUAUUAAUUAAUCAUUUUAUGUUUUAGUUUUUGAAAAUUAUGUUUGUGUGCACAACACCUUUUAAUUAUUUGGUGUUGUGCUUAAGGAAGUGUUCCUCAUGGGGUUAGACAUAAGGUUGGAUCCCUCUAUAUCAUCCUCAAAUUAGUGGGCAAGUAGAAGUAUCUAAAAGGGAGUUAUAGAACGUUUUAGAAAAAACCGAAUGUUGGUCUACAAAGGAUUGGUCUCUUAAGUUAGAUGGUGCACUAUGGGCCUACUGAACAGCUUAUAAAACCCCUAUUGGAAUGUCUCCGUACAAGUUAAUCUACGGAUUUGCCACCUUCCCUUCGAACUUGAAUACAAAGCCUUUUGGGCCAUUAAAAACUUAAAUUUUAAGUUUAAAGAUGCUUAAAAAAAACGUAAAUUUCAAUUAGCCGAACUUGAUGAAUUAAGAUUAGACGUAUAUGAAAAUGCCAAACUAUAUAAAGAGAAAAAUACAAGAAGGUGAUUAGUCUUAUUAUUUAACUCGAGGUUAAUUUUUUUUCAGGAAAGCUAAAAUCGAGAUGGUCAGGACCAUUCGAAGUAAAAAAAGUUUUUCCUUAUGGAACAAUGGAAAUUUGGAGUGAAAAAACCAAAAGAGUCAUGAUUAAUAGGUAGAGACUUAAGCAUUAUCUUAAAGAUUUCAAAAAAGAUGGUGAAACCGAAAUUAUCCUUGAUCAUUGAUGAAUUAAGUCGAGCUUACAACUUUAACCAAAUGCUUAAUGGAAGGCAACUCAUUGUUUUUGUUUACUAAUAAUUUACUUUCCAUGUUUCAGAUCCAAUAAUAAUACAUUUUAUAAGUUUUCACUAUUGAAAAUAAUAUUUUUAUAAGCUAUUUUAUCAUAAACCACAUUUACAAAUUUAUAAUAAUACAUAAAAAUUGCAUAAGCUGCUUGUAUAAGCUCAAAAAUAAGUUAAUCCAAACGAGACCUAAAUAACCAAGCAGAUUAUCUCUCGGAUUUACGAAAUGAUCAUAAUUGAUAAAUAAAUAAGAAAGAAGAAAGUGGUGUGACAUGUUAUUCUCAUGUUUCGUUAAAACUAGCAUUUUUCUACAUAAAAAAUACAUAAAAUUAUUUAAAAAAUAUAUAAAAUACCAUUAAAUUAUUAUAAAGUAGUAGAAAUUAUUGGUAAAAAAUAAAAAAAUACUAGUUAAAAUUCAAUAAAGACAGAAAAAAAUCAGGAAAUUUUUUGUAUUAUUUAUUUUUUAAUGGAAAUAUUUCGAAUAAAAAACAAUAUCAGAUAAUUAGGAAAAAAAUACCAAAAAAUUUUCAAAUUUAAUAAAUAGAAAGAUUAUAUAUAUUUCUAAUAGGAAAACAAAUAUAUAAUUAUUUCUAGAAUAAUGCUCAGAAUGCGUAGAACGGAACAACGAAGCUAAGGCGUUGCUAGUGGUAAUGAACUUCAGUCACAAUGGGAAAUUAGUGUAGGGCUUAAGGUGUUAACCAAUAAAAAUCAGUAUAUUAAUUCAUUGUAUAUAGUACUAGUUUAGUUUUAUUUUAUUUUCUUGGGAGGGGGUUAUUUGCUUUAUGUGGGUUAACUCAUAUUUUAAACGAUUUUUUCGAACUAAAUUAAUAUUUUUAUCAUAUGUCCCCUAAGGGACAAUUAGAUUAAUAUUUUAAGAUCCAAUUCCUACAUUUAUUCGAAUUUGAUGGACCGACCCAUACGAACUAUCUCAUUGUCACAUAUUUACCCUCACUAUAAGAAAAUGUAUGAUUUGCUAUCAGAAUUUUGCUAUAAACUGCAUUUCUAGUUAAUCCCAAUUAAAAAUCCCACUGUUUGACCGAUGCUUUUUUUUUACCCAUCUGACCGAUUAACUUCAAAAACUUCUAUUAACUCAUCUAUUAACUUCUUUUUUUUUUACCUCAUCUCUCAGAAUCACUUAUUCACAAUCGCUUCUUCACUUCUUCACAAUCUGUUUCAUCACCAUCAACACCGAAUCCCUAACUCGAUCUCGUUCAAAAUCUCCUUCGUCACCAACGCCGUUCAUCACCAUCUUCGAUUCAUCACCAAAUCGCAUUCUCUGAUUCAUCACCAACGCCGUUCAUCACCAUCGUCGAUGCAUCCAAUUUCUUCAUCUUUCGAAUCUGGAAUUCACCAUUGCACCAUCGCCGAUUCAUUCCUGAUUCACUGAUCUCACAUCAAAAGCGUUCUCCAUUUGGUAACCGACGCCGCAUUUUUCUGAUCUAUUAUUGAUUCGAUCUAUUAUUGAUUCGAGGUAUCUAAAACUAUGCUUAACUUCUCUUUUAUGAUUGAUUAACUCAAUAUGUUGUUCUGAAUAUUGCAAUAUUAUAUAUGAGUGAUUGAUUAUGAAGUAGGAUUUAGGUGUUUCAGCUUAUAUGUGUUUGAUUUUGGUGUUUUUGAUUUUACAAUUACUCCAACCAUCGAUAAGAUGAGAGCAGUG